rnacentral:rRNA from 1 species
UACAGGGGGGGGCAAGCGUUUGUUCGGAAUUACUGGGCGUAAAGGGUCUGUAGGUGGCCAACUAAGUCAGACGUGAAAUCCCUCAGCUUAACCGGGGAACUGCGUCUGAUACUGGAUGGCUUGAGUUUGGGAGAGGGAUGCGGAAUUCCAGGUGUAGCGGUGAAAUGCGUAGAUAUCAGGAGGAACACCGGUGGCGAAGGCGGGUCUCUGGGCCGAUACUGACGCUGAGGAGCGAAAGCGUGGGGAGCGAACAGG